rnacentral:rRNA from 1 species
UUAAAACUGGGAUUUAGUACCCCACUAUGCCCAGUCGUAAACUUAAGUAAAACAAUACAUUCUAUUACUCGCCAGGGAACAACGAACCCAGAACAUUAUUUACUCUAAUAAUUUAAAACAGUUUAAAACCCAAAGGACUUGGCGGUGCUUUAUACCCCCCUAGAGGAGCCUGUUUUAGAAUCGAUACUCCCCGCUAAACCUCACCUUUUCUUGCUAUCCCCGCCUGUAUACCGCCGUCGUCAGUUUACCCUAUGAAGGCAUAAUAGUGAACAAAAUUGUAAUUUAACCAGCAUGACAGGUCAAGGUGCAGCUCAUGAAAAGGGAUUGAAUGGGCUACAUUUACUGAAACAGUAAAUACACGGACGUUUAGUUAUGAAAAAACAACUGAAGGUGGAUUUAGUAGUAAGAAAAGAAUAGAGUGCUUUUCUGAACUUCCCAGGCCCUGAAGCGCGUACACACCGCCCGGUCACCCUCAAAAAA